rnacentral:ncRNA from 1 species
CUAAAGGUUUGGUCCUAGCCUUCCUAUUAGUUGUUAGCAAAAUUACACAUGCAAGUAUCCGCAUCCCUGUGAGAAUGCCCUCUAAAUCACAAUCAAUGAUUAAAAGGAGUAGGUAUCAAGCACGCUCUUUAUAGAGUAGCUAAUAACGCCUUGCUUUGCCACACCCCCACGGGAAACAGCAGUGAUAAAAAUUAAGCAAUAAACGAAAGUUUGACUAAGUUAUGCUAACACCAGGGUUGGUAAAUUUCGUGCCAGCCACCGCGGUCAUACGAUUAACCCAAACUAAUAAGCAACGGCGUAAAGCGUGUUAAAGAUAAUGAUAGCCAAUAAAGAUAAAACCUAACUAGGCUGUAAAAAGCAACAGUUAAUGUUAAAAUACUCCACGAAAGUGACUUUAUUAUAUCUGACACACGAUAGCUGAGACCCAAACUGGGAUUAGAUACCCCACUAUGCUCAGCCCUAAACCCAAAUAACUUAUAAACAAAGUUACCCGCCAGAGAACUACUAGCAAUAGCUUAAAACUCAAAGGACUUGGCGGUGCUUUAUAUCCUUCUAGAGGAGCCUGUUCUAUAAUCGAUAAACCCCGAUAAACCUCACCACCCCUUGCUAAUUCAGCCUAUAUACCGCCAUCUUCAGCAAACCCUAAAAAGGAGUAAUAGUAAGCAUAAGUAUCAAACAUAAAAACGUUAGGUCAAGGUGUAGCUUAUGAGGUGGGAAGAAAUGGGCUACAUUUUCUAUACCUAGAACAUUCCUACUUUACAAACGAAAGUUCUUAUGAAAUUAAGAACUAAAGGUGGAUUUAGCAGUAAGUUAAGAACAGAGUGCUUAACUGAAUUAGGCCAUGAAGCACGCACACACCGCCCGUCACCCUCCUCAAGUAUCCAAAAAUUAACAAAAUCCAUAAUUACUACAUCCCCAGUAUUAGAGGAGAUAAGUCGUAACAAGGUAAGCAUACUGGAAAGUGUGCUUGGAUGAAU